rnacentral:rRNA from 1 species
CGGACAGUGUCUGGUGGGUAGUUUGACUGGGGCGGUCUCCUCCUAAAGAGUAACGGAGGAGCACGAAGGUUGGCUAAUCCUGGUCGGACAUCAGGAGGUUAGUGCAAUGGCAUAAGCCAGCUUGACUGCGAGCGUGACGGCGCGAGCAGGUGCGAAAGCAGGUCAUAGUGAUCCGGUGGUUCUGAAUGGAAGGGCCAUCGCUCAACGGAUAAAAGGUACUCCGGGGAUAACAGGCUGAUACCGCCCAAGAGUUCAUAUCGACGGCGGUGUUUGGCACCUCGAUGUCGGCUCAUCACAUCCUGGGGCUGAAGUAGGUCCCAAGGGUAUGGCUGUUCGCCAUUUAAAGUGGUACGCGAGCUGGGUUUAGAACGUCGUGAGACAGUUCGGUCCCUAUCUGCCGUGGGCGCUGGAGAAUUGAGGGGGGCUGCUCCUAGUACGAGAGGACCGGAGUGGACGCAUCACUGGUGUUCGGGUUGUCAUGCCAAUGGCACUGCCCGGUAGCUAAAUGCGGAAGAGAUAAGUGCUGAAAGCAUCUAAGCACGAAACUUGCCCCGAGAUGAGUUCUCCCUGACUCCUUGAGAGUCCUGAAGGAACGUUGAAGACGACGACGUUGAUAGGCCGGGUGUGUAAGCGCAGCGAUGCGUUGAGCUAACCGGUACUAAUGAACCGUGAGGCUUAACCUU